CUCCCUCCCUUCAAAGCCUUCGUCAAGCAGGUCGUGCAAGCUUUUCUCUAAGAGAAGCAGCAACAGCUAGAUGAAGAACAACAAGAACAACAAGGAGUUACCCAGGACAAGGAGUUCGAUGACGAUGGCGAUCUCAUCAUCUGCAAGCUUUCGGAGAAGAGGAAGGUGACGAUUCAGGAUUUCAGAGGGAAAACACUGGUCUCCAUUAGGGAGUAUUACAGAAAGGACGGCAAGGACCUACCUACUUCAAAAGCAGGUCUUUUCACUAAGAAACACAGAAGCUUCUCUUUUUAUACAGAUCACGCCUCGAAUGAUUUUGCCACUAAGAAGGUCAAGUUAUACACUGGUUCCGUCCUCUUUGUUUCUUGGGUUUUUUGCUUCUAUAAUGUUGGUUGGACAGGGAAUAUAUCUCACUUCCACUGCACGCAGUCAUGCUAAAGAUAACAACUUGCAUGAAGGUGCACUAAUUGGCGACUUCAAUGGGGAAUUCUGGAGUGUGU